GCUGAGUCUCUGCGUUACAAGCUUGAAGGCCUUGCUAUUCGCAGGGCUUGCUAUGGUGUUCUGAGGUUUGUUAUGGAGAAUGGAGCAAAAGGAUGUGAGGUUAUUGUUAGCGGAAAGCUUAGGGCUCAGCGUGCAAAAUCAAUGAAGUUCAAGGAUGGGUACAUGGUGUCUUCUGGUCAACCAAUGCUU